AAGCGUUGUUCGGAAUUACUGGGCGUAAAGGGCUCGUAGGCGGCCAACUAAGUCAGACGUGAAAUCCCUCGGCUUAACCGGGGAACUGCGUCUGAUACUGGAUGGCUGGAGGUUGGGAGAGGGAUGCGGAAUUCCAGGUGUAGCGGUGAAAUGCGUAGAUAUCUGGAGGAACACCGGUGGCGAAGGCGGCAUCCUGGACCAAUUCUGACGCUGAGGAGCGAAAGCCAGGGGAGCAAACGGG
rnacentral:rRNA from 1 species